rnacentral:rRNA from 1 species
UCCGUAGGCGGGCAAUUAAGUCAGAGGUGAAAUCCCACAGCUCAACUGUGGAACUGCCUUUGAUACUGGUUGUCUUGAGUUACAGUGAAGUAGAUAGAAUAUGUAGUGUAGCGGUGAAAUGCAUAGAUAUUACAUAGAACACCGAUUGCGAAGGCAGUCUACUAACUGUAUACUGACGCUAAUGGACGAAAGCGUGGGGAGCGAACAGGAUUAGAUACCCUGGUAGUCC